UGGUCGGAAAUGAAAACGACUGGCCAAGAUGGAGCGUUUUUUUUUUCUUUGUGCACGUAUUGUUUUUCCUCUUUUUUCAGUCAUUUAACUAAAUCGAAGUCUCGACGACGUGUCCGGCAUUAGCCACAUUACGGGCUCGAACAUCAGUCUUCCAGCCUCGGCACUCGUUGAAGUUUUGCUGCCUACUUUAGCUUAGCCUAGCUGGCCAACCGCUAACAAAGCUACAAGGCACGUCGUCAGGCAUUCAGAAAUCAAGUGAGGAUUAUGUUCGCGAGAACUACACCGGAAGCAGAAAAGUUCCAGGAGGAGCUUUGUGGAGUAAAAGAGGAGCCCCCACGUCACCAUGACUCGACUGUGUGCAAAAUAAUGCACGCAAGGGUUGUUCAUCGCAGACUAGAAGGUCUAUAUGUCAGCCAAGCCCAUUGUCCUGAGCACCAGGAGUCUGCAUGCAUCAAGGACGAGUCGCCAUGCAUCAAGGAGGAGGAAGAGAUGGUUCACAUUCAAGGUUUCAGAAAAUAUCUUGGUGCUGAGCGGCAGGAGCCAGAAUCUCCUGGCGUUGAAGAGGAUCUUGAGCUCCCCCAAAUAAAAGAGGAGGAUGAGCCAGAACCCUGUCAACGAAAGGAGAGAGAAGAGAAACUUCUAAUCAAAAAGGAAGAGGACGAGCUGCCUUACGCUAAAGAGGAGGAAGGUAUCACCAGGUCGAGUGGUGAGCCUUUGAAGAGUGAAGGUGGUCCGAGUGAGGCCAGCAGAGGGGCGGAGCCUCCGAGCGGCAGCAGCAGCUCAACGGGAGGAUUGCGAGCAGACAUUUUUAUCGCUCCGUCAGACAGAAAUGGCGCCACAUCAGAAUCGCCUCACAAUGAUGAUGAUUAUAAGAAAUUUCACGGUGACGGCAAACUCUGCAAAUGCUCGCAGUGUGGGAAAACUUUUGCGAAUAAGAAAAUUUGUUGUAUGCAAAUGAGGAGUCACACUGGCGAAAAAACUUUUUCCUGCGCAAUUUGUGGUCAAAGAUUCGGUCACAUGAGCAACUUAAAACAACACACAAGAACCCACACUGGCGAAAAACCUUUUUCCUGCUCAGUUUGUGGUCAAGUAUUCACUCAGAAGCAACACUUAAAAAGUCACGAAAGAACCCACACUGGUGAAAAACCUUUUUCCUGCUCGGUCUGUGGUCAAGGAUUCGCUCAGAUGCAACACUUAAAAACUCACCAAAGAACCCACACUGGUGAAAAGCCUUUUUCCUGCUCAGUUUGUGGUCAAGGAUUCGCUCAGAAGCAACACUUAAAAAAUCACGAAAGAACCCACACUGGCGAAAAACCAUUUUCCUGCUCAGUUUGUGGUCAAAGAUUCAGUUGCAAGAGCACCUUAGAACAACACACAAGAACCCAUGCUGGCGAAAGACCUUUUUCCUGCUUAGUUUGUGGUCAAAAAUUCAGUCGAAAGAGCAAUUUAAACACACACAAAAGAACCCACACUGGUGAAAAACCUUUUUCCUGCUCAGUUUGUGGUCAAGAAUUCGCUCGGAAGGAUCGAAUGAAGAGACACGUGUGUGUUGGUGUGAGAAACAGUGGCCAGUGACUGUUUUGCCUGCCAUCCGUGCUGGCUUCAUCAGAUUUUGCAAGCAGGAUGAAUGUAUUCUGUAGAGCUUCCUUAAAUCCUGUUGAGUAUUGGCACUUUUGGUGCCUUGCUUUGUCCAAUCGUUGUAUGAUGUGAAUCCACCCUAUUGCAUGAACAUUUGGAGUCGAGAAAGACUAUGUCUCUCUGUAUCGGCUUCAAAACCUAUGUAGUUCAUGUGGAGGACAUUAAAACAAUGUGAAAAAACAAGACACAACAAAGCAGCAUUUCUACAUCGUUUCAAACAAAGUAAGAUUAACAACACUGAUCAAGACAUCCUGAAGGAACUCCAAUUGCUGCGGGCUGAAAACAAGAAACUGAAGAAGACGAUGAAAGAGAGAGAUGAUCGUAUCAACAAACUGGAAGCUUUGGCAGAGGAUCUGGAUCAAAGUGGACGUGCAAACGAUCUCCUCAUCACCGGAAUCAAAGUGAGAACACGCGCAUACUCGCAAGUUGUUCAGGGUGACCAAACUACAUAGUUUGGUGAACCAAAGUAUGUAACGGUGGAAAAGCAGGUGACUGACAAGUUACAAGAAUUGGGAAUAAGAGUGAAACAGCAAUUCAUUCAACAGUGCUUUCCGCUAGCUUCACAAGGGAAUAAACCGCCAAUGAUACUCAUGAAGCUUACUGAUCGAAAGAAUCAGAUAGCCCUUCUCAAACAAGGUCGUCUCCUGAAAGGAUCCAACAUCUUCUUCAAUGAGAAUUUAACCCGCCGCAACGCUGAAAUAGCAAGAAAGGCACGUCAACUGAAGAAAGCGGGAAAGAUUGAGAGUACAUGGACCUCAGAUUGCAGAAUUUUCGUCAAAACACAAGACCAGAAAAUGAAAGUUAUCAAGCAAGUCGAAGAUCUGGCAGCUUAUGAAAACUAAUCAUGACCCAAGUAGCGGACUCUAUGCUCUUAUCACAAUUACAGCUGGAAGACCAAUUCGAAGAUUGCUCCAAUGAACCAAAUGACAUAUUCGAUCCGGAUAUAUACUUUUACGCCAACAGACCAGAGGAGUGCAAAUACUACAGUGAUGAUCAAUUUAACAGCUCUUUUAAAUUGGACGGUAAGCUUUCAUUAAUCCAUUUCAAUGGCAGAAGUCUCUACAAGAACUUUGAACACAUCAAGGAUUAUUUACACAAGUUAGGCAACAAGUUCAACGUCAUUGCUGUAUCGGAAACUGGAUUAAGGAUGUCAAAGGCUCUGAAUUUAACCUUCAAGGUUAUAAUAUGGCAAAAAUGGAUAGGACUGAUAAGGGCGGUGGGGGUGUUGCUCUGUUUAUUGACGACAACCUUAAGUUUGAUAUAUUAGACAAUAUGUCUACUAAGAUUGUGAAUCUUAUGGAAUGCAUUACAAUUGAAGUACUUCUUUCAAAAGGUAAAAAUAUAAUCAUAAGUUGUAUCUAUCACGCUCCCGGCUCCAGUGUUGAACUUUUCACUGAAUGUGGAGGAAAACUUCUGUCGAAAACGAAUAAUAAGCAUGUCUUUGUUUGUGGAGACUUGAACAUUGAUCUGUUAAAUCCUAACAAGAGUUUACAUAUUGAGGAUUUUACUAGUACUACAGUGCUGCUCAAAAGUUUGUGAACCCCCUCAACAUUUUGGAAUUUUCUAUUAUUUCAACCUGAUUUCCUAAUCAAUCAAUUCAGUAGUUUUUUUUUGUUUUUUUAACAGUUGUGUUGUCGAGACUAAAUUAAAAAGAGUUUUCAUCAACUGAUGUAGGUGCAAAAUUGAACUGUUUGGUCACAACCAAAACCGCCAUGUCUGGCGAAAAGUCAACACUGCAUACCACCAAAAGAACCUUCUCCCAACAGUGAAGCAUGGAGGUGGGAAUGUCAAGAUCUGGGCUUGCUUUUCAUCCUCAGGACCUGGACAACUCCAAAUAGUCCAGGGAAUCAUGAAUUCUGAGGAAUAUUGUCAAAUCCUAGAACAUAACCUGACGCCAUCUGUUUUGAAGUUAAAGCUUGGCAGAAGGUGGAUCAUGCAACAUGAUAAUGAUCCAAAGCAUUCCAGCAAUACAACCAAGGAAUGGCUGAAAAAGAAGAUUCGUGUUCUGGACUGGCCCAGUCAAAGUCCUGACCUAAAUCCCGUUGAAAUGCUGUGGCGGGACCUGAAGCGAGCAGUUCAUGCCAGACGCCCAUCAAACCUCUCUCAACUGACUGCGUUCUGCAAGGAAGAAUGGGCAAAAAUCCCCCAAAGUAGAUGUGAGAGGCUGAUUAGUCACUACAGAAACCGUUUGGUUGAGGUAAUCUCUGCAAAAGGAGGCGCAAUAUCCUAUUAACUGAAGGGGUUCACAUACUUUUGCACACAUGAUAUCUGAGUUUUUCUUAAAUCAACCACUUUUGUUAAAUAAAGAAUGACAAUAUAACUAUUUCUUUUGUUUCAGUCCAUUAUUUGGAAUGUCAGUAUUGUGGAUUUGGGUAUAACUUAACAUUUAAUAAGGUUAUUUUAGUUUUUUUUACAAAAAAUCUGACCAUCGCUGUGGGGUUCACAAACUUUCGAGCAGCACUGUAUGUACACAUUAGGGCUGCAUCCAUUGAUAACACAGCCGACUAGAAUUACGACGCAUAGUGCUACCCUAUUAGACAAUAUGCUUACUAAUGUCAUGCCAAAUGAGACCCAAAGUGGUAUCUUAAUUACUGAUAUUACCGACCACUUACCAAUUUUCACUAAUUAUACUCUGCACUCAAGUAACACAAAUCAAACUCCGGCAAUCUAUGGGAGACUUAGAUCAGAGCAAAAUAUCGCAGAAUUAAAAAAGGACUUGUUAACUCAAAGCUGGGACUGUGUCUAUCAUACAAGUGAUGUAAAUGAAGCGUAUGGCUGUUUCAUAAAAAAAAACUAGAACAACUAUAUGAUAAACACUGUCCAAUGAAGGCAAUUCACAGACAACGCAAUACUCAAAAUAAACCUUGGAUGACCAAGUCCCUUGUAAAUACUUGCAGAAAAAAGAAUACUUCAUACAAAAUUUUCAUUACCCAAAAGACAAAACAGGCAGAGGUUAGGUACAAAAAUAUCGAAAUAAAUUAAACUCUAUUUUGAGAGCUUGUAAAAAACAGUAUUAUGCACAAUUAUUAGAAGAUAACAGAGACUACACUUGCAGAUUAUGGAAAAUCAUGAAUGAAAUUAUAAAAAACAAAAAGUCUGUACAAACGUACCCAAAUCAUUUUUACGCUAAUGACUUGAAGAUAACUAAGGCAGAUGACAUUGCAAAUAAUUUUAAUGAAUUUUUUGUUACAAUCGCUCCUAAAUUAGCGGAGAACAUACCACAUGUGCAAUACAAUAACAAACAGGAAAGGGCCCUGCACUCCUUAUUUUUGCACCCUGUGAAGGACACUGAGAUAAGGCAUCUGGUCGGGACAUUGGGAAACAAAGCCUCGACAAAAGUGCAAGGCUUGGACAUGAGGCUUAUAAAACUUAUAAUAGAUGACAUUCUUCAGCCUUUAACAUAUAUUUUUAAUCUUUCUUUUGAAACUGGAACAUUUCCGAAUGAUAUGAAAGUCGUCCCCGUAUAUAAAGGAGGGGACGCACACGUAUUUAACAACUAUAGGCUAUAUCUCCAUUCUGCCACAAUUAUCCAAGAUCCUCGAAAAACUUUUUAAUAACAGGCUUGACAAGUUCAUAUCAAAGCAUAGCUUACUAAAUCAUAGCCAGUAUGGUUUUAGAAAAGACCACUCAUCUGCACAAGCGCUGACGGAGUCAAUGGAAAUUAUUACGGAUGCGAUUGAUCAAGGACAGUAUUCUGUUGGAAUUUUCUUGGAUUUGAAAAAAGCAUUUGACACAGUAGAUCAUAAUAUAUUAUUUGAUCAAUUAGAGCGACUGGGAAUUAGAGGAAUAGCUCUAGACUGGAUAUGUAGUUAUCUAUCUAAAAGGCAAAACUCAAAACUCUAACGUGACAAUUAGUGGGAAAAGGUCGGAAAAACUUGAAGUUACAUGUGGAGUACCUCAAGGCUCUGUCUUGGGACCAAAAUUGUUUCUACUAUAAAUAAAUGAUAUAUAUACAAGGUAUCCAGCAUAUUAAAAAUGGUGCUUUUUGCAGACGACACCAAUAUCUUUUUCUCAGGUAACGACCUAAACAGAAUGACCCAACAAGUGAAUGAGGAAUUAGGCAAGCUACAAGAAUGGUUCAAUGCCAAUAAACUGUCACUAAACCUUAGUAAAACUAAAUAUAUGCUAUUUGGCAAAAAAGGUCUGAAAGAACAUCUAGUACAGGGGUGUCCAAACUUUUUGCAAAGGGGGCCAGAUUUGGUGUGGUAAAAAUGUGGGGGGCCGACCUUGGCUGAAGUGAUUAACGUAGAACAAUAUAUUUAAGCAAAUUUUAGCAAGCCAUUCCGUGUGUCACAUUUGCUUUAUUAUUUUUUUAAAUUAAUAAUUUCAACAAUCUCCUUAGCCUUUGUGGCGUUCUCUUUUGACUCUCGGGCUCUUGCAAAAUACUGCUGCUGUAAAAUUAAACUGGCUUUAAGUUGCUUUAAUUUCUCGCUACGGAUCUUCCCUGUAAUCUUGUCGUACAUGUAAGCGUGUCUUGUUUGGUAAUAUCGCCUCACAUUGAACUCUUUAAAAACAGCGACUGUCUCUUUGCAAAUGAGGCGGACACAGUUGUUGCGUAUUUUAGUAAAGAAAUAGUCCAAUUUCCACCAAUCCUUGAAUCGUAGGCCGUCGCAGUGAACUUUUUUUUGUUGAUUGUCGCCAUUUUAGAUUUUAAAUUGGGAGUAAAGGGUCACACGGGGUAAUGUUGCUUUGAGUGCUGCUGCCUUUUAGUGGGUAAAUGAGGAGCAGCAUUUAAUGUGUAAGCUACUUCAUAUGCUGGUAGCAGUACUGCUGACCAAUUUAUUAAGUCUAUGUGCGGGCCAGACGUUAUUGAUUUUAUGACAGAGGCUGGGGACCGGAUGAAAUUUGACCAAGGGCCGCAUUUGGCCCCCGGGCCGGACUUUGGACAUGUCUGAUCUAGUAUCUUCAAGUCAUCUAUCAAGUAAACCAGGUGGUUAUUGAACGUGUUGGAGAACACAAGGUAUUAGGUAUAAUACUUGAUGAUUCAUUAACAUGGAAUGCACAUAUAAGACAACUGAACCAUAAACCACAAAUGAGGGUGCAUGGAACAAGUAAUCUCGAAACCGCUCACAGAUAGCCCACUUUAGCGCCAGAAACUCCAACUUGCCUGCAUGCAUAUGAUAAUUUUUCUCCGCCGGUGUUAACAUCCUUGACCCGUAGGCAAUAACCCUCAAUUUGCCAUUCACACGCUGAUAGAGGACUGCUCCUAGUCCCGAUUGAGAUGCAUCAGUAUGUAAAACAAAUGGUUGGUUUAAAUCUGGAUAGCUCAGGAUAGGAGGAUUAGCCAGUUUGUCAACCAGGCAACACAAAGUCUGAUGGUGAAUGUCAGUCCAGGUAAUCAAGGCAGCCGAUGGCAACUGUCCUUGAAUUUUCUUAUUUUGCACUUUUCUCCUUUUCUUUUGUGUCUCUAAUUCAGACACAUGGGAUGCUGUUGAAGAGACUGCUAGUAAUUCGUAUAAUGGCUUCGCAAUGCGUGAAAAGUCUUGAAUAUAUGAUCUAUAGUAAGACAGAAAGCCCAAGAUUUGCCGCACCUCUCCUACAGUCCUGGGGUGUUUAUCCUUGAGGGCUAACACGGGGGCGAUCUCUGCUGGAUCCAUACCAUAACCGUCUUUUGAAACCAUCCUGCCCAAAAACCUGACCCUUGAUUUGAAAAGUUCACAUUUUUUUGCAGUAAGUUUUACACCAUGCUUCUGAUAUCUUUGUAAAACUGCUCGCACAUGUUCAAUGUGAUCCUCAAACGAUUUACUGUGAACCAAAUUGUCAUCCACGUAAGGAAGGCAAAUGUCAUCACGUAACCCCCACAAACACUCCUCCAUGCUUCUUUGAAAUUCUGCAGGUGCAGAACUAAGGCCAAAUGGAAUACGCACCCACUGGUACAAACCCCAGGGUGUAAUGAAUGCAGUGAGCGGCUGACUUUCUUCAUCUAAAAACCCUUGAUGGUAUGCCUUACCCUGAUCAAGUACAGAAAACCAUGAACUACAUGUCAGACUAUCAAGCAUGUCUUGUAUCCUGGGAAUAGGAUGUCUGUCUGGCACGGAUUUGCGAUUUAGUUCACGAUAGUCCACACAAAGUCUGAGUUCCCCUGAUUUCUUUCUCACGCAGACUAUGGGUGACGAAUAAGGUGACUUCGACUUUGUUACCCAUCCUCUGUUAAUGAAGUCCUGCAGGUAUGUUUUAACUUCCUGAUGCAGUGGUUUAGGCACACUUACAUAGGUUUUUUGGACUGGUGUUUGAUCUUUAAAAGAAAUAUGCAUGCGAAGGGUAGGAAUGCAUCCUACAUCAUUUUCAUCCCGAGCAAAGGCUUUACACUCUUGCUUGAGCAUUUCCCUCGCUACAGAUUGUUGCUCAUUUGUUAGGUGGUCUAACACUACCGGAGGAUCCCAUGUUUCCGUUGUGCCACUGGCAGGUGGUGGUGAAACUUUACAAUCUGCCGAGGUGACAGGUCUUGGUGUGCUCACUGACUGUAGGGCUGCUGGGUAUAUUGCUUUAACCCCUUCAAUAUGCCCCAAAACAAAACAUGGAUUUAUAGUAAUGCUAUGGCCUGUGGUGUUAGUGAUGGAUACCGGGACCAGGGGUCGCGUUAACCGAAUAUUUUCCGUCGUUGACCGGUUUUUUAAAACGGUGACGGAAAAAACUGAAGUCCGUCCGUCAUUUUGACAGGUUUCAAUUCACACCCCAGACCACAGGGUGGCAUAUUAAUUAGCUAUUGUCUCUCUUAAUGCAUGACGUCGUUGGCUAAUUCUGUCAGAAUAUUGUAGCGUCACCGUGGUCUGGAGCUACAGCGGCAGCACCGUGAUUGACACAUCAACGCGAGGUUCUUAUUGGUGCACCCGGUGUGCCAGCGCCUCAUCCAAUUGAUGGACUAGAUUGUCGCCUGUGUAUAGACAAGUUUCCGAGGUACUUCCGGUUUACUUCCUUAUGUCUUCCUUCCCCUUCCGUCUGUUUACCGUUGAAGUCAAUGGCGGUGGAAUCGAAGUUGGAAGGUCUUUAUACAAGAUCCCGGGAAUGUUAUUUUGAUGUAGGCGGGUGGAGAACCAAGCCAAGGCCUCCAUGCUUCUUACCAUGUCGAUUUCCAAACCAUGGGUGCUCGUACUCGUCAUACAGGUGGGAGGGAAGGAGAUGUACAAAACUGACAGCUCCUGCAGUCAUGCCCCCGCUGUUAUGGAAGGUAAUGUGCUCUAAAAAUACGAAACCUAAAAUCUGGCGCAUGAAACGACUUGUUGCCUUUGCUAUUGAUAUUACGAUGAUGAUUGUAAUUACGAAGUUUUAUCAUUUUUACAACAACUAGCUUCUGCUACUGCUGCUAGCCGCCUGUUGCUAAUCGUGUUUGAAUGCACUGCAUAAAUCCAAGUGUUACAAGUUUUUAUCCGUUUGUUUACAGCUGGGAAAUGCUGUUAUAAAAGAGAAGACAACUUGACUUGUACGUUGAUGGCCAUAUAUCAAACAUAUAUCGUUUGCGUUCCACAAUGAUGAUGACAGCUCGACUCCCGGGAGAGGCCGAGAGAGGCAGGAAUUGUGACAGACGGUGGUUCGCCGAGAUCGCCGUGAUCCAACUACGAACUUGUGAACGGUAGCAUCUUUAAAUAUAUGCUAUUGGAGCUGGAAUUACCGAGGACGGGAAAAAAAGCACAUCUAAAUGCCGCCGAGGGCCUCCGUGAUGUCGCUAUUUGUUCACGAGGCUCCGGAGCGCUGCGGUCUAAUAUCACAUUCUCGCAUGCUAUUUUUGCAAUACUUUUAUAAAUGUGAUAUAUUGACCUGUUUUGGAGUGCACCAAUCGUUUUAAAUAAAACAAGAAAUUGAAUCAUGUCUAAAUGUUUUAUUGCGAUCAAUGCCUGCAAUAAAAAAAAGAAUGACAUACUAUUUGUGUUUACAUCAUAUGUACAUAACCUUGUAGCAUUUCCUUGUAACAAAACAAUCCAUGUCAGCCCUUCUGCAGUUGGCAAAUGUAAUAUAACUUGUAAUUUCACCACAUUUUGGUCACUAAUGGCCGUAGUAUCAAUCCAUUCCUCACGUUAACACAGGCUGACCGUUGUUAAUAAUUUUGUCCACGAAUGAUCAACGAAGUGACACGAACUGCCAUCCAAUCUCAUCUACGUGUCAUCUAGGUCGUGCUGAAUCAAUUUUUGAAGAUUCCAUGGGUUGCUCUGGCUUGAUUUCGUAGUUUUAUCGUCGUCAAUACACUGCUAAUACACUGCUACUCGACCGGACCGGAAGUGCGAAGCAGACAUUUUCCAAGAUGGCGGCGCCCGUAUUUCGCUCAGGAAACUUGUCUAUAGACCCCAAUCACAUGACGUCAAAACUCCGCCCCCUGACUGGAGCAGCCAUAUUGUCCGUCAGCUCGUCGUGUUUACACAUUACCGCUACGUACAUGCCUCCUAUUACGGCGUGUUUUUCUGCUCGUUAACAUUAAUAAUCAAAAUGGCGAAGAAGUGUGUGGCGGUUGGUUGCAGUAACAGAGAAGAUAGACGGAGAGACUUGAAGUUCUACCGUAUUCUGAGAGACCUGAAGAGGAGAGCGAGAUGGACUGCUGUAAUUCGACAAGAAAUCUGGGCACCAAACGAUCCACAGACUAUGUAGUAGUCAUUUUUUAUCUGGUAAGAUGCAUUUAAUAUAUAUUUAGAAGAUUUUGGGCUGACAACCACAAUUAAGAUCAUUGUGUGACGUUGGUGAUUGGGGUCUAUAUAGUUGCCUCUUUUUCUUUGGGAGUGGAGUUGUUUUGUUGGUGUUGGCGGUAAGCAGAGUAAAAAGAGGGAGAAAAAUACAACUUCCGCGUCUAAUUUUUCGCCGCCAAGCAAGCGUUACAAUAUUAAUUAAAAAUGAAUGAAAACUAAAUACUAUUGAAUAUGUCAUCAUUAUCAUUUUAAAAAUUUAAGUGACUGGUAAAAAUAGAUUAUGACUGGAUUUUUAUGACCCUGUCAGUCAAAAUGACAGACAACGAAAAUGUCUAGCGCAACCUCUGACCGGGACAGUGGUCAAGUUACCCCUUUUUGCUUUAAACAGCACUUCUUGUAUGUGAAGUCCUCCUGGCAAACCUAGGUUCAAUUCCGGGCUAAAUACCAUUGCGGUGUCCUCGUCAACCGGUAUGCGUGUCCGACAGCGAAGGGUGGUCGCUACACGAAGACUCAACACAAUUUUAUUUCUUCCCGUUUUCACUUGAGUCACUUCAUUAGCUGUUUCGCGUGCAUGUAGUAAAUGAAUGAAUGCUUUCGCAGAGACCACAUCGAUGUCAAAAGCACUACUAACAAUGUUCAUUGUACAAUCAUUCAUCAUUGGACCUUGUUUCAAUUGUUCAUUGAUUAGUUCCUCUAUCACAUUAAAUCCAAUGAUGGGGUCCUGAGCUACAUUUGGGUCACUGGAGACAAGUACAGGAACCAACAGACUAGAACUUGAAACCUCAGCACCAGUUAAUUUAAAUUUUACAGGAACCCACCCAAUGAAUGGUAUUUUGGUCUGAUUGGCUGCCAGGCCAUCAAGAGGCUCUGAUCCCAAGAGUUCCUCUAUCCCUCUAAUUUUUGUGUGAGGUAAUUUUUCCUUUCUCCAUCUGUCGUUGAUUACUGUAGCUUGUGCACCAGUGUCCCACAACGCAAUAAGUGGUACAUUGUCAAAAGUGCACCUGACCAUUUUGCGUCUCCCAAUAAGUUUAACAAGUUUUCCCUCUUUCUUGUUUGACAUUGUGUUGACAUUACCCAUGUUUGAUAACCAAUUUUUUUUAGUUUUCUCACUCAAAUACUGUUCAACCAGUCUUACCGUCUUACAUGCGCGUUUGUGUUCUGGCCAGUGUUGCUGCUGACACAUUUUAGAGCAGUACAUCGCGGAAGAGCAGCCUGCACAAGUCUGGAGUGGUGCAUCCCGUUGUUCCUCCCCUCGACAGUGAUGACAGUAGCGGGACUCCUGAUGAGUUGGCUGGGUCACUGCUGGUCCCGUGGCGGUGGCCCCCCGUCGUUUCCCUGCAGCCGACGUGACACCCGGCAUCCUAUUGAAAUGUGACUCGAUAAGCCGCACUUGUAGCAGUGGGUGCAGUGGUCUCCAACGCCGUUGUUCUGGCAGGUCUUGCAGCCUCUCCUCCUCCUAGCGUUGUCAUUGUCAGCUGAUCUCCUCGUAGGUUGAUGGUUAUAUGUACUUAAGGAGGCGAGCAUCAUCAGUUUCAUCUCAGCCAGUUCGGUUCUUAGUUCGGCCACGCAGGCGUGUACGUCCGGUGAAGUCCGUCCCAUUUUGUGCUUCUCCUUGACUCCCACCGUGCCCGGUGUUGAGGUGCUCUGUGGCCCAGCCUGCAGCGCCUCUGGAGUUGUCAGUACAUUAAUCCUGGGGGCCUUGCUACUGUUUCUCUUUAGCUUGCUCCGAUGCUCGGCUUCCAGGUUCACUGCUUCAUUGAAUCGCUCAAUAAGUGUUUCGUCUGUCACCUCAAGGUUGUCGAGGAGUGGCUUGAUCUGGAACUUGAUGUUGUCAUUUAGUAGCCCUGUACCCACUGACCUCAAAAACUUCCUCUUGACCAGAGCUGCAUUGUAGUGCUCAGCUGGUUCUUCUCUGGAUACAUACAGGAGCAUGUCCUUCAGUUCAGUGGCCCUGAACAGGAAAUCUUGAGGGGACUCAUUCGGGUCCUGAGAGAUGUUUAUCAAUUUCUGGUACAGGUCCGAGGUGUCCUCUUCUCUGUGAUGUCCUUUCAGUAUGACUUUUAACUGGGGGAGCGUUAAAUCAGUCUUUAUUUCAAGCAUGUCUCGUAAUUUUAGCCCUGGGCAUAUGGCUUUGAUCACUGCUUCAAUCACUUCGGAUUCACUGUGACCUUUACGGAGUCCUACUUCUAUUUGAUGGAGCAAGUUGGUGUAAGACAGCCGGUCACGCUGUCCACCUUCACCUAUUUGCCCACAGAUACGAAAUUCCCUGCGGAUAGUCACCUCUGGUAUUCUUGCUGGUGAAGGAUUUUGGAGUGCAGCAGGCAGACCGUCAGCUAUUUGGAGUUUUUCCUCCAAUGCUUUGAUUUCUCCCCGCAGCUCCUCAUAUUUUUGCUUCGUUGCAGUCGAGUGAGAGGAAUCACUCCGUUCACGAGCAGUGUUUAUCAGGACAGACUCUUCCAUAAACAAUAAAAGUUCUUCAAUUAAUUGGACAAUUUCUUCCUGCUCAUGACUUUGCUCCGUUCUGUCCAAUUUAUUUUCAAUCAUUUUCAUUAAUUCUCUCCGGGUAAGUGUCUUGAUAUUCUCCUCUUCUUCAUUAUCGAACCCGUAGAAACAUUUCAGGAAGUCACCAACCUUUCUCAGUUGGUCCCAAUCCAGCCGACACAGUGUGCUGGUGACUUUGUCUCUUAGUGCUUCCGAAUCCAUCUUUGGUGUCCAGAGGAUGGUUUAUCAAUAACAAAGAUCCAAGUUCGUAAUUGGAGAAAGGGAUUUCUUCGAUAGCAUGAAGCGCGUUAGCAUUAGCCGCAAGCGCUAGCUGCUAACGAUGCUAAUCCACAAACGCUUUGUUAUGUACUACCCUGAUCUAAGUACAUGUAAGGCCGAGACUUGAAUGGAACAACACUUCUUUAUUCAGUGUGCUUCUCAUCAUAUAUGUCAGAGACAUAACAGAGAUUCCUUUUUAUACUGUAAUACCACGCCCACAGGAAGUGCACACUAUGGCAACAGCAGUGUGACAUAAAUAUGUCACAUCUCCUCCCCCCUUACAUAACAUGUCCCAGAAAUAAACACAAAAAUACCACCGGUUUUUCCCUCAUUACUUAUUACUUAUAAAUCCAGUCUAUCAGGCCUGUCGCGUGUAGGAUAACGACGUUCUACAGUCACUUCCGAUUUUCCACUUGUAGAAACAGGUUCCGAUACCGGUUCAGGUUCUGUUUGUGCAUUGGUUGAAUUAGACACAAUUACAGCAGGAUUGUUUGGGUUUGACACAUCCGGUAAGCUAGACAUUUCUGGUAUUUCUGACACAUCCGGUAAGCUAGACAUUUCUGGUAUAAUUACACUGCUAGCAUCAUCACAAUCAAUAGACAGUUCUGGAGUAGUGUCUGGUGUUCCCAACAAUUGAUCCACAUGGCGACGCCAAACAACAUCAGCUGUCUGAACUGUGUAGGAAACAGGCCCAGUUUGAGCAAUGAUGGUGGCAGGGGCCCACUUUUCCUUACUCUGGUAACUCCGGGCCAUAACAGAGUCACCAGGUGCAAAAACUCGGUUCUUGGAAUGCAGGUCUCUGUACUUGACUUGCUUCCGUUGAUCCAUUUGAACAAUCUCGCUCAGGGUUGGUGGUUUCAGAAGAUCCAUGCCAGUUCGUAUCUCUCGAGAAAACAUGAGGCUCGCUGGCGAUACUUUGGUAGUUGCAUGCACAGAUGUUCGGUAUUUGAGGAGAAAUUCGUGUAGUGUGUACUGGAGUGUACUUUGCCCUUGUGAUGCUUUGAGAGCAUGUUUGAGGGUCUGCACAAACCUCUCUGCCAAGCCGUUAGUUGCCGGGUGAUAGGGAGCCGACUUAAUGUGUGGAACCCCAUUGGCUUGCAGGAAUUCACCCAUUUCUUUUGACACAAAUUGGGGCCCAUUGUCUGAGACGAGUUGUGCAGGAGCUCCAAAACGACUAAACAUCUCCCCUAACUUUUCAAUUGCCUUUUCCGAUGUGGUUGAUUUCAUGAUAACGACCUCUGGCCACUUACUAUGAGCAUCGACAGCAACCAGAAACAUUCGAUUUUCAAAAGGCCCCGCAAAGUCAAUGUGAAUGCGGUGCCAAGGGUCCUGAGGAAAAUCCCAAGGAUGAAGUGGGGCUGCAGGUGGAUUGUUGCGAAUCUUCUGGCAAGAUGAACAAGUUUUUACCGUCUCUUCGAUCUGUUUAUCUAAUCCUGGCCACCAAAAAUAACUUCUCGCCAUUUCUUCCAUUUUAACAAUACCACUGUGACCUGCAUGCAGUUGCGCAAGCAUUUUAGCACGCAAUGACUGUGGCACAAUCACUCUCCUCCCCCACAGCAAACAACCCGAUUGAACAGAAAGUUCCCAUCUCCUAUCCAAAAAAGGUUUGAGAGCGGCGUUCUCACACUUGGUUUGUCCUUUAAUUACCAUGUCCAUGACGACUGACAGGUCGGGGUCGUUCCGAGUUGCAUGUUUCACCUGCGACGCUGAAAUUGGUGCAUGUUUCAACAUUUCGGAAAUAGAAUAUGUCCACUGAGGUAGGUUCAUGUUUGGUGACAGGAAGCGGCAACCUCGAGAGUCCGUCAGCAUUGCAAUGCAAAUCAGAUUUACGAUACUUGAUGUCGUAUGAGUGAGCUGAUAACAACAAAGCCCACCUCUGAAGACGUGCAGCAGCCAGUGAAGGGAUUCCUGCAUGAGGUCCCAAAAUCGUUGUCAGCGGUCUGUGAUCCGUUAACAGAGUAAACUUCCUUCCAUACAAAUAUUGGUGGAACUUCCUCACACCAAAAACAAUGCUCAAUGCUUCUCGUUCCAAUUGAGCAUAGUUUGACUCUGCUUUGUUAAGUGUUCUUGAUGCGAAAGCAAUUGGUCUUUCAUCCCUGUUCGGGAACACAUGGGAGAUGACAGCACCCACCCCAUAGGGUGAAGCAUCACAUGCCAGCUGUAUUGGAUAUGAAGGGUUGAAAUGAGUGAGAACCUCUGAGGAACUCAGGGCGGUUUUCGCAUUACGAAAAGCUUUGUUACACUCAGUCGUCCAUUUCCAUUUUACAUCUUUGCACAACAGCUCAUGCAAUGGUUUAAGAAGUGAUGCCAAAUUGGGAAUAAACCGUCCAUAAUAGUUUAAUAGACCUAAAAAAGAUCUAAGCUGACUCACAUUUUCUGGGGCGGGUGCAUCCACAAUUGCCUUUGUCUUCGAUGGAGCCUUGUGUAGUCCUUCGUGGUCUAUCACAUGGCCGAGAUACUCCACCAAUGGUCUCAAAAAUUCACAUUUUUCCUUGCGCACUCGAAGACCAUACUGCCUUAGCCUUUUUAAGACAGCAUCCAGGUUGCGAAGAUGCUCCUCGUCGUUGGCACCGGUGCAGAGAAUGUCAUCCAAGUAACAUUGUACUCCUGGCAAUCCACUCAAAAUUUGAUCCAUAGCCCGUUGAAACAGAGCAGGAGCAGAUGUGAUGCCAAAAGGUAGUCUGCAAUAUCUGAAAAGUCCCUUGUGCGUGUUAAUUGUCAGCCACUCCCGUGAUUCUUCAUCCACAUGCAUCUGCAGAUAAGCUUGGUUGAGGUCAAUUUUGCUGAAUUUUUGACCACCGCUCAGACCUGCAAACAAAUCAUCGAUCAAUGGAAGUGGGUACUGCUCCACACAAAGCACCGGAUUCAAAGUCACUUUAAAAUCGCCACAUGUGCGAAUUCCGCCAUUCUUUUUCGGAACCGGCACAAUUGGUGUCGCCCAUUUGCUGGUGGUGACUGGUUCUAAAACACCACUUUUGACCAAUGCAUCCAGGUCAGCCUCGACUUUGUCACGAAUAGCAUACGGCACUGUCCUAGCCUUCAUAAACACAGGUUUGCUUCCUGGUUUAAUGUGCAAUUUCACUGUAAUGUCCUUCAUGCUGCCCAAUUCCUCACGGAAAACCUCUUCAUUCUUGUCCAGAAUGACUUGUAGUUGUGAAGAACCGUCUGACAGCUGCCGAACUUCUAGCCAAUUUACACGAAGUGCAUUAAUCCACAGUCGUCCCAUGAUGGAAACAAAAUUCCCUUUUGUGACAUACACUGGAAGUUUAGCAGUUUGAUCCUUGCAUUGCACAGUAAUGUCAGUCAUUCCUUUCAUGUGCACUUUGUGUCCAGUGUACGCUUUGAACACAGUGUCUGACGGUCUUAAUGGAAGGUGUCUCAAACACUGUUUAUAGACUUGGUAGGACACAAGCGAUGCCGGUGAUCCAGUAUCUAUCUGCAUUUUGACUGGGUGACCCUCUAACUUUGGUGUGACCCAGUAACACCCUGACUUCCCGUCCACGCUCAUUACAUGCACGGUGUGCACGUCAUUGUCAACUUCGGCAGUAGAGGCACUCUCUACCGCUUUGACAUAUUUCUUUGUUUUCUUCUUGUCAUUCAUUUCCUUAUCUUUGUCUGUGCUUGUUUUUUUCCGACAGGCACGCUCAACAUGACCCUUCUUCCCACAAUGAUGACAGUUCAUUUCUUUGCACCAGCAGGUGGAGGAAAGGUGCCCUGUUUUACCGCACCUAAAACAGGGACCAGCAACAUUGCUUUGAGUACUUGCCACUUGGUGUAUUCUGCUCGUAAUGUUCAGUUGUUGAGCCUCCUUUGAAGCCAAUUCCAUAACCACACUUACAUCAAAGGCUGUCUUUAAUGUCAGUCCACUUUCUGAAAGUAACCUCUUUUGUGUUGCUUCAUUUCUCAGUCCACAUACCAGUCUCUUAAUGUGUCUUCUAAAACAUCACCAAACUCACAAUGUUCAGCCAGCUUCCGCAGCGCCGCUACGAACAUAGUGACAGAUUCCCCCUCUUCCUGAUUUCUCCUGUGAAAUCGGAAUCUCUCUGCUAUCACAAGGGGCUUGGGUGAAAAAUGUCCAUUAAGAGUUUCCACGAUUUCCCUGUACGUUUUACUACCAGGUUUAUCGGGUUGAAGCAAGUUUCUCAGUAAAUUGAAAGUCUUUGGCCCAAUAACGCUCAAAAACGUGGGCACCACUUUCUCUUCCGCUAUUUCGUUAGCUUCCACGAAAUAGCCGAACCGCUCUGUGUACGAGCUCCACUGUUCCACAAGUUCAUCAAAAAGACCAACAGCGCCGAUAACUCCCGCCAUAGCGCCUGGUUAUACAGCACCUUCAAGCUCCUUUUGAAAACUCCGCUCGUCCUCCCCACGAAGUCACGACGUGGAAGCUGAGGUCGGCGCAGUCUGUCCCCUGGAGCACCGCGACCCGCAGUAAACUCCAAAAACAGCACGUCCAAGCUGACGCAGGUCCAGACGUCCUCGUCGCCACUUUUGUUAUGUACCACCCUGAUCUAAGUACAUGUAAGGCCGAGACUUGAAUGGAACAACACUUCUUUAUUCAGUGUGCUUCUCAUCAUAUAUGUCAGAGACAUAACAGAGAUUCCUUUUUAUACUGUAAUACCACGCCCACAGGAAGUGCACACUAUGGCAACAGCAGUGUGACAUAAAUAUGUCACACGCUUACUCACGCUCGUCCUUAAAGCCCUUCCUCCUGGCUAGCUCGCCAAAUAUGUUGCAGCUUGACACAAGGAAGAAGUCUGCCAGUGUAUCUUUAGAGAUUUCCACUUUUAUUUCUCUUUGUUGUUGCGCCCACAAGCAACAAGUUCACAACCACGUUCUCUUUUCCUCUCCCCUCCAAAAUCACACGAGGUGCGUUUUCGUGCCCUCGGAAAUUUCAGUCUCAGAAACGAUGACUUCAAUUGCAAUGCGGAAACACAAAAUAAUUUGAUAGAACACAAAAAUAUAUUAACACUAGUGAAAAUCAAAUACACCGAUGGGGGGAUGCAUGUCAAACCAGUCACUAUCUCCUACAGUAUGAUUUAAUAAAUUUCAAAACGGGACAGAUGAUGUACAAAGCCUCAACUAAUAGCCUUCCGUAUAACUUGCAAAGUCGUUUCCAGGCUAGGGAAUCGAAAUACGAUUUGAGGGGGGGAAAUGUGUUUAAACUUAACUACGCUAGAACAACACACAAAAUCAUUUUCGGUUCCUUACUCUGGUGUAAACCUUUGGAACAAACUAGAUUCUGCAGUGACCAGCUCAGGGUCAUUGGCUGUUUUUAAGAGGAGGUAUAAACAAACCUUAUGAAAUAAUUAUGUUGCUGACUCAAGAUAACUCGGACAUAAUAAGAACUGUACAAAUGUUAAAUAAUGUCUGGUUUGUACAAAUGUUAAAUAAUGUCUGGGUGGCAACUCAAAGCUGGAAGCAAAACCGAGUGUACCCAAAACAAUGGAAGACAAAAAAAAAAACCCAAAACAAAGGGAACUCAAAGCCAAUGCAAACAGAACUCACAAUGUCAUAUCAUCUGUUGGCUGUAAAUGCACAGACAACUGACUUCAAAUUCUUCAAAUUUGUAAUGACAUGGGACUGGUCGACUGGCCACUGUCCUGCCAGAACCUGGACAACGCGCCUGCCUGGAAAACAUUUUAACGUCUGGAUAUUGUGGAGGAUAGCUGGGGUAAAUGGCGGCGUCUGACCACACUCGAAGAGGAACGAUAUCGAGGAUGUUUCCUUAUGGUGCGCUGCUGGCAGCUUCUGAUUGUGCCAGGUGGGAUAGUGAUCGCUGGGACGGUCCUUCUGAAGGACCUAGCGACGCCAGUCCCCCAGGCCAUGAGUCCACAACCGAAAUGGCGAUGCAACCUACUACGAAGCUGCGCAACCUUGAGAUGAAUGUUCGUCGGGAGUCAGCAAGGAACAAAAACUGCGACAAGGAUUAAGUCAACAAAAGGAGUGUGGCGGACACGGCCUACCAUCGGUCCUCAGCUUUUCCCUAUCUUCUGGAUCGAAUCAACUGAAUAAACUAAGUACUAAAUUAUGAACUAGUCUACUGGAUCUAAUCAACAUAACGAGCACAUCGAUCGAAUGUGGACUAUUGGGAAAAUGAACAAUCAGAGGGGAUGGUUAUUAUUUAAAAAAAAAAAAAAAAAAAACCUUGUGAUCAUUACGAAAUCUGAAUGUCAAAAAUUUGACAUUUGAUAUUUUCUGCGUCCUUAAUGGUAUACUGGGGACGGGUUUCAAUAAGCUUCGGCUUCUCCCGUCAGCCCUUUUCUUUCCGGGUUGAAUUAAUUGUAAACACAUAUAAAUGUUGUAUGUUUGUUUGAAUGUGUCAUGCCUGAAGGGAAAAUAAAUAAAUAAAUUAAAAAAUAGUUGAACAGUUUAAGAACAACAUUUCUCAAAGCAAAAUUGCAAGGAAUUUAGGGAUUUCAACAUCUACAGUCCAUAAUAUCAAAACGCCGACAUGAGUGUGUAAAGGAUAUCACUAAAUGGGCUCAGGAAAACUCAGAAAACCACUGUCAGUAAAUACAGUUCGUCACUACAUCAGUAAGUGCGGGUUAAAACUCUACGAUGCAAAGCAAAAGCCGUUUAUGAACAACAUCCAGAAACGCUGCCGGGUUCUCUGGGCCCGAGCUCAUGUAAAAUGGACAGAUGCACAAUGGAAAAGUGUUUUGUGGUCUGAUGAGUCUACUUUUCAAAUUGUUUUUGGAAACACUGGACGUCGUGUCCUCCGGACCAAAGAAGAAGCAGAUCAUCCGGACUGUUAUCAACGCAAAGUUCAAAAGCCAGCAUCUGUGAUGGUAUGGGGGUGCAUUAGUUCCCAUUGCAUGGGUGACUUACAUUUCUGUGAAGGCAACAUAAAUUCUGAAAAGUACAUACAGAUUUUGGAGCAAAGUAUGCUGCCAUUCAAGUGACAUCUUUUUCAUGGACGCCCAGCAAGACUCUGCACGUGUUACAACAGCGUGGCUUCGAAGUAAAAGAGUCCAGGUUCUCCCAGACCCGUCUCCCAUUGAAAAUGUGUGGUGCAUUAUUGAAGUGUAAAAUACGACAGAGAAGACCCUGGACUGUUGAACAACUGAAGCAGUUCAUCAAGCAAGAAUGGGAAAGAAUUCCACUUGAGAAGCUAAGAGAAUUAGUCUCCUCUCUUUCAAAACGUUUAUUGAGUGUUAUUAAAAGUAAAGGUGA